rnacentral:tRNA from 1 species
GCGCUCGUAACACAAUGGAUAGUGUACCGGCCUGCGAAGCCGGGUAUAUAGGUUCGAUUCCUAUCGAGCGCACCC